GAGGGGUGCAAACGUUAUUCGGAUUAACUGGGCGUAAAGAGUGUGUAGACGGAACAUUAAGUUCGCUGUUAAAUCUUUCGGCUUAACCGAAAGCUUGCGGUGAAAACUAAUGACCUUGAGGGUGAAAGAGAGAAGUGGAAUUCUCGGAGUAGCGGUAAAAUGCGUAGAUCUCGAGAGGAACACCGAUGGCGAAGGCAGCUUCUUGGUUCACUUCUGACGUUGAGACACGAAAGCGUGGGUAGCAAACAGGAUUAGAUACCCUGGUAGUCCACGCCGUAAACGAUGAUCACUGGAUGUCAGCUUUGCUUAGCAGGGUUGGUAUCGAAGCUAACGCGUUAAGUGAUCCGCCUGGGAAUUACGGUCGCAAGAUUA
rnacentral:rRNA from 1 species